CACGACUUACUGCCAGCGCCCCAACUGAUAAAGCUGGGGAGGCGACCGUCAAUGCGAUGUUUUACCAGAGACUUGUAAACUCGCAGUAGCGCUCACGCUCAGUUUCUUUGCUGUUUUUUUGCUUUCUUUUCACAGACAGAAGCACUAAACAAAUCAAUCAUAGCUCAGGAUCUGUGUCACCGGUGGGUGCGGCUGGUCCCGAAGGUAGGCUUCCUGCUCAGGAGGCAAAGCACUUUUGCCUUACAGCCAAACGGCACCCAGGAGUCUGUUAUUAUUUCAAAGACAUGUCUACCCAGAGGGGGUGCCCAGGGGAGACAGCACACUUUUGGAGCUGCGGUUGCAUUCAGAAGCAAAGCGGUUCUUCUAGGGACUUUGGACACAUGUGGCAAUAUCUGCAAUCCUCUGAGUUUGUGGAGGGGAAGACAGUCAAGGAUGCAAUAGAAUGUGCUCUGCAUAGAACAUGCCCCAGCAUAGAGGCCAAAGCCUGAGGCCCUCUGCUGUGCUAGCCUAUCUGAGCCUCGGCCUAGAAAUUACAACUGCAUUGACCCAUCCUGAGGCUGAGCCUGGAGACGUCCUGGUGUGUUAGAAAGGCCCAGAACCUUCAACCUUGCUUCACUGUCCUUAGGAGAUCAGAUGGACUUACUGCUCGUCUUCUCUACCCUCUCUUGUUCUGAUUUAUUCCUCCUCUCAACUCAUUUACAAGACAAGCCGAUGCCAUUAAUGCCCUAGGGCUAUGGUGGUCUUUUCCUUUCAGGGUUAUGACUAUAUCCUCAGGGGACCCCCUGUAUACUACACCUAGAACCCAGCCAGCCCAGAGUAUGGAAUUUGACAUCUAACACCUAACAUGGGGGGACUGCAGCUAAGGGAAAGGACACAGUAAGGUAAGAUGCAUAAUUAAGACUUUCCCCUCUUCUUUGGAGUUGGCGGAUUUUAUUAUCUUUGUUUCCUCCUACCAAAUGAGGUAGGAGGAGAAGGAAACGGUACCCGUAGGGAGAGAUCUCACGUACCUGCAACACUGACCAUGCCCGUUUGGGUGUAGUCACCAAUAUAUGGGGGAGGGGAGGACAGAGAUAAAGGACAAGGGAGAAGGGAUCGCGCUCUCUUUUGGGGUUCCAGCUGAGGUCGGAGACCAGCAGAUCGUUGACCUCAGUUCUCGGCUUCUCUUGUAAGUGACUUCUCUCUAAUAAAGUACCAUACAACUUCC